rnacentral:rRNA from 1 species
UGGGGAAUAUUGGACAAUGGGCGCAAGCCUGAUCCAGCAAUGCCGCGUGGAUGAAGAAGGUCUUCGGAUUGUAAAGUCCUUUCGACGGGGACGAUGAUGACGGUACCCGUAGAAGAAGCCCCGGCUAACUUCGUGCCAGCAGCCGCGGUAAUACGAAGGGGGCUAGCGUUACUCGGAAUGACUGGGCGUAAAGGGCGCGUAGGCGGUUUAGACAGUUAGGCGUGAAAUUCCUGGGCUCAACCUGGGGGCUGCGCUUAAUACAGCCAGACUAGAGUGUGAAAGAGGGUCGUGGAAUUCCCAGUGUAGAGGUGAAAUUCGUAGAUAUUGGGAAGAACACCGGUGGCGAAGGCGGCGACCUGGUCCAUUACUGACGCUGAGGCGCGAAAGCGUGGGGAGCAAACAGGAUUAGAUACCCCCGUAGUCC